rnacentral:pre_miRNA from 8 species
GGGCCUGAUUCAAGUAAUCCAGGAUAGGUUUGUUCAGAAAGGUAAAGCCUAUUCUGCAUGACUUGGUUCAGGACU